UUAGGGUUUGCGUGCCUCUCCUCCCUUCCGAGCUCCCCGAUCCUUGAAGACACCGCUACCGGACCUCGCGACGAACAAGCGCUGGUCCGGCGUCGCCUUCGCCGCGAGGACGACGCGGUCCUCCAUCUUGAGGUAUUCCGACGAUGCCAGCCGCCGCGAUUCCUCUUGCACCGCGAGUCGGGAAAAUUCGUCCAAGGGAAGGUACCGGUUCCAUGGCGAGGAUUUGGCUGCGAAAGGAAUUUUUGGGCAUCUUCGGUCGGAAGGAUUCCGGCGGCCACUUCCGGGGUGAGGCUGGUUGCACUACCUCCAGUGCCGUGCCAGCCGCUCGUCCGCCGGAACGGGGAUGGUUCCGUCAAUAAAGGAGCUCUCUCGGGACCAAACGGAAUAGUUCUCCGUCGGGACUAAACAGAAUAGUUCUCCGUUCCCGAGAGUAGCUGCGAAAUCAGGCGGAGCUCGGGUCCGUCGGCGGCGCUUAUAUAUAGAACAUCCCUGGCUGGGGCCGGCCACCGGAGGUACCUGCGAAGGGAAAGUAGCCGGAUCCGAAACCCGGGUAAGGAAGAAUAGUCGGACUCAACCCAUUCUGGUUCGGGUCGGGCCAAUCCGGUCCGGUCCCGGAUUAGGCUCAGUGGCGAACGUCGAGCCUCCCCCUGGCCCACUAUUCUCUGCGUGGCUUCUCUCUGUCGAGCUCAUGGCAUUCUGGGCAGGUUAGAUCUGAACAGGGAUCCAUUGAAUAUAUGGUCCCUGAAGUACUUGCGCUGGAUUGGACUGAGGAGGCACUGAAUUAGGCUGAAUGGAACCCAGAUGUCCUUCAUCAGGACGCCCUUGAUUGUGGAUGCUGAGGUGCAGAAGAAGAGUGGUUUUCUAAUGCUGUGGUUGGAAAAAAAAAAGGGUCGGUAUGCGGAAGUUAAAACAGAAAAAGCUCUGAUGGUAUGUCAGAGAAUUAGAUGAUGGAAAGUUGUUGGAAAUUGGAAAAAGGUGUACUGCUUUCUCGUACUAACAUUGUAUGGUUACAGUCCUAUUUAUAAUAAGUCGAACUAUUCCCGGAAA